AUGCUUACCCGGCAGGGGAGAUACCAUGAUCAUGGAGGUGGUUUUCCCAGGGUGAGGUUUAUCCACUGCACUCCAGAUGUGCUAACCCCUGCGAUUUCCCCAAUGUGGGAAACUCGACUGCAUAAUGUGUCAUAGUGGGGGACUGAAUUCAUGCUCUCCCCUA
ensembl:snRNA U1 U1 spliceosomal RNA